GCCGCUGUGUUGGAACUGCCAGCUAGACUGCUCACCAAAAUGGGAGGCAGCCUCUGCUGCUGUGGUGAAGGUGAAGACACACUCAGCGAUUCAGCUCUACAGUAUGCACUCUGGGAUCUCCCAUUUGCUAAGGAAGGAUCUUAGCUUUGAGAAAGGUGUCAAGCCUGUGGCAGCAGAGCUUCCUGGGGAGUCCUCAGAGCAAGUCAUUGCCAUUGUCGAAGUGUCUUCUAGGCUUUAUUUUGGGGCCAUUACCUCGAGCACUGUUUCUUGUCUGGUUUCCUAAUGUCAGCAACUGAAGAAAAGACCUGUAUACACAGGACACAGCAUGGUCUGACGCUCACAGUGUUUUCCUUUCUCUCUGCAGAGGGAUUCAGCACUUUGGGCAAGUGGUUGCACAGAGGAUCCCGUGGAAGAAUUCAUAUAUGAAUCAGAUGAGAAUGCCCCAGGACCAUCGUAGAUACCAACAAGCCCUCUCCCGGCACCUGCAGAAAAAGUGGGGAAAAUCCCCGAAGAGGCAGAAACAUUCAUCCGGAAGGGCCGCCAGCCAGUGGAUUUCCCGGGCCCCUCAGCCCUCUGGAGUGUACGAGUUUUGGAGAAACCUCUUCCUCUGUAUAUGCUUUUGACUUUCCUGGACUGAUGUAAAAAUACUCUUUUCUUUGACCUGUUUAUUUUUAAGACACGAUGUGAUUGUGUCAGCUUAUAUUUUAUUGCUGAAGUAAAUUUUCAAAUGUUUUAUUAGUUUUUUUUGGAUCUUUGUCCGCUCAUUUUGGAGUUUUUGUAAUUUUGAUAGGUGUUCUUUUAUGCUUUGUAUUGUUUUCUUAAUGACUUUUACCUUAGUUUUUAACAAACCCAUAGUACAGUGUUAUACCCAAGCGAGUCAGAGAAAACGCCACACUUUGAG
rnacentral:lncRNA from 1 species